CUUGACUGUAUCCUGGAAUUGGGUUCGGGCUUUUCUUGCGCAGCCUAGGUGGGAGGCUAUGAAGAUUUCCUUCCGGGGAAGUUGGAGCCAUCAGUGAGAGACCACUCUGGAGAGGCUAGAAUCCUAAUGGUGAUCCUUGAAUCAGGACACUUGACAGUUUCAGGUGGGCAGUUUUUCUGGGGCGGAAGCCUCAUAAAGGGUAACUGAGGCGCGCAAAGGUCCCCUCAGUCUGGACGGAAAUCAGACAACGAGUGUAAAGGCAGAAGGGAGCUUGACUGUGAGACCUACAAGUCGAACAGGGACGAAAGUCGGCCUUAGUGAUCCGACGGUUCUGAGUGGAAGGGCCGUCGCUCAACGGAUAAAAGUUA
rnacentral:rRNA from 1 species